AUUGAACGCUGGCGGCAGGCUUAACACAUGCAAGUCGAGCGGAGAUGAGGUGCUUGCACCUUAUCUUAGCGGCGGACGGGUGAGUAAUGCUUAGGAAUCUGCCUAUUAGUGGGGGACAACAUUCCGAAAGGAAUGCUAAUACCGCAGACGUCCUACGGGAGAAAGCAGGGGAUCUUCGGACCUUGCGAUAAUAGAUGAGCCUAGGUCGGAUUAGGUAGUUGGUGGGGUAAAGGCCUACCAAGGCGACGAUCUGUAGCGGGUGUGAGAGGAUGAACCGCCACACUGGGACUGAGACACGGCCCAGACUCCUACGGGAGGCAGCAGUGGGGAAUAUUGGACAAUGGGGGGAACCCUGAUCCAGCCAUGCCGCGUGUGUGAAGAAGGCCUUAUGGUUGUAAAGCACUUUAAGCGAGGAGGAGGCUACUGAGACUAAUACUCUUGGAUAGUGGACGUUACUCGCAGAAUAAGCACCGGCUAACUCUGUGCCAGCCGCCGCCGUAAAAC
rnacentral:rRNA from 1 species